rnacentral:misc_RNA from 1 species
GGAAAACUGAUGAAAAAUGGGAUGAAGAGUUGAAGAUUAUCGUUGGAGGAAUGAAUUAAAUUAACAGUGACUGCUGGGGUGAUGACACCAAUUAUGAUUGGUGAAGGAGAUUGGUAGAGCCGUAGAGGAAAGAUGAGAUUGAUGGAGACUUUUGGGAAAGAACUAGAGAAUGGCUAUUUCCUCAAAAACCUAAAACAUACAACAAAUCUACUCAAUUUGUUUUGGUAAGUUUACUAAGUAACCUAAUCCAAUUGCUAUUUAAGUUGUAUGGUGGUGCAGACCAAACCAACCUAACUGAAAUCAUCUGGAAAUGGAGUUUACAGCUUGGGUUGGAUUGCUACAGUGGGUUUAAUUGGGUCAAUCAACUUUUGAACAGCCCUGGGGGUUAGUGCUCAAAAAGUUGGAAUUUCUAACAAGCCGUGUGGCAUCAUUUAAGUUUAUAUCCCAGGAUGUUAUUUCAGUGUUGUUAAGGCCUGUGAAGGAUCUUGUCUAAACAAGAAAUACAAAGAGGCUUGGGAAGGGGUUAAAAUACUGCCUUAGGACCAUGAUUAUUUUCAUUU